CUCAUCAAGGUCUAAAAGCAAAGGCGAAAGAGAAACGUACGGCAGACGUGCGUCGUGACUCAUCCUCUCAUUCAAGAUUCCUGGUUCAAAGUUCUAUCUCUACUUCUCUCUCCUCUCCCUCGCUGUCUAUAUAUAUGUUCAUAGCGCCACAUGAAUGUCUGCGUAUGUGUUUAUUAUUAUCUGUAUGUUUUGUUUUAUUGUGUAGUAUAAUUAUCCAGAUCUGUGUCAUAAGAUGUAUAUUGGAUCUCUCUUGGUUUGUUGUUUUUUCGUAGUUUGAGUGAUGUGAAAUGGAUUUUUUUUUUCUUAUUGGUUUGUUUUGAGCGGGUCAAGUCACUGGAGGCAGCGGUUCAUCGAUCUCUUCCUGGAAACUUUUGUAGUUAAAAAUCGCGAAAAGACAUGAAUCGAUCGAUAAACCUCUGCAUCCAGCGCUCUGCGCUUACCCCUUGCCUUCUUUCUUACUCUUAUAUGUGGCUGUUUGGUUGCAUAGAAUGAUAAGGGCAGUCUAGGCCUUGUUUGUUCUUUGCAUGCUGGAAAGUCUUCAUUUAUUCAAAUUUUGUGACCUGUGUUUGAUUUGUGAAAUUGAAUGACUUAUUUGAAAAGAAAAUUUGUUCAAAGAAGCUUAUUGAAUUUUUUAUUUUUUUUUUGAAAAUUCUAUUUGAAGGAUUUUGUUAUCAAGACGUGAAAAGGAAUUGGAGUUUGGGAUACAAAUUUACUUUCCUCUGUGCUUUUUUUUAAUGAAGCUCCUGGAAAUAAAAGAACUCCAUUUUGAAUUACAUAAGAUAAGGCAUAAAAAUACCAAAUUUAUUUUCCUCAUUCUAUUGAGCUUAAUUUUGAAUAUCGCUUGAAGACAUGAGAAAGUGCUUGAAAUCAUGAGGAAGAGUAUUUAGAUCUUUUCAUUCUCGCUGUAUUUCUCUCUUCCCAUUUUUGAGGCUAAUUAAUCUUUGGUUUUUUGUGAGCUGCACUUAGCUUGUUGUAAAACUAAUCUUUUUGUCAUCGGGAAACAAACUUUUCACAUUACAAAUUAUGAAAAGCGUGUAUUUCGUUUCAUUGAAUUUUUGUUCAAAAAGAUUAUGCAGGUGUGGGUGUGUGAAAGUGUAUCUAUGCCCCUUCACGUUAGCAGGGUUUUUAUUUGCAUUUAACCAAUCGUGUGGUGAUGAUUAUGAGGGGCAGAAGGUGGGGAGGAUGUGGAAAUAAAAAGACAUUACUUGUGAAAGUCUAUAGAAGAUAUUUUCUAGAUAAAGUAAAUUAGCGAUUAUCCUGAUAUUUGUUGUUGGUGUUCAAUUAUGAUUGAAUGGUCAAGUGAACUGGAUGGCGCGUGAAUUCACUGAAAUAUUGUUGGUUUUCUCACCCAAUUGUCUUGUGUUUUUGAAUGCUUGUUCAUGUUCUUAAUUGGUUAAAUCAGUAAAUCUUUAAAAUUUGCCAUAUUUCGUUUUGAGUCGCUAGAUGUGAUAUAUAUAUAUAUAUAUGAUAUUUUAUUUCUAUAUAAUUUCUCUUCACCAUGUUGAUAUAUUUCUCUCUUUCAUGCUUUUUUUUUUUUUUUGGUCGCACCAUUGUACCUUUUUGUUAUUUAUCAUUUUCUUUUAGGGUUUCAUGUGUGUAGUUAAACAGCUUGCUGUCUUUCAAACUAUAUUACUGUUUUUUUCUCCCCACUUUUCUUAAAGUGCGUUCUUGAUUGAAGGGAUUUGACUAGUGGUUCCUGGUGUAAUUGCAGCACUGAUGUUUUUUCAUAAGCCUUUUGUGAUCCACAAACCUUUACUGCUUUAUGCUUCUAGCACAUUGGAAGGUGAAGAAAAAAUUAGUUUGUGUAAGCAGUAGAAAAAGAAUUUUGCAUAAUCAUCUGCACAGUUACUCCUAAUGACAGUUUACAGUGAUGCAUCAUGAUUGAUCAUACUCUUCAUUCCCUUUUAAUUUGGUUACAGUGCCAAACACUGGUUAAUUUCAUUGGUCAUUGUAUUUUCCUCGAGAAUUUUAGCAACGAUGCCAUGUUUUAUUUUAGUGAUUGCCAACAAUCAUGCAAAUUUAAUUCUCAGCCAUUUAUGUUGGGCGUUAUUUUCUUGAUCAUAUGGUGAAAAAGUUGAUGAUUGGUCUUGGAAAGAAGUUUCCAAGUUGGGAACAUGCCAUGGUGAUUGCUGCCUGAAAUUGAUGGGCAAAAAAAUCACCGAAGUUAUGGAUUGUCAACUUGUUGGAGCAUCUGCUUGGUUUUGAAUACUUUUGAUACUUUAUACGCAGUCUCGUAAUCUCGAACCAAAUUCCUUGUACCAAUUGCCAAUCAAAUCUCUGUUAAAUAAUUCCAUCCUCUAGUUUUUGGACCAUUAAGAUGGUGGAAUCUUGGCGCCAGAAUCUGGGUAGGGAAAGAAUCAUGGAAAAUUAGAGAAGAUGGUCUGCCGGUUCAGGUGUCUGAUGUUGUGUCCCUUCCCUCUUUUCCAACGACGGCAACAAAUGAGGUUAUGAGAAGGGUUUUGCGGCAGAAAUUUGCUCAGCUUGACGAAAAUCCAAGACUCAGAGAGAGACUUUUCUACGUAAAACUGUUGAUUUGUGUCAAUGUGUGGGAAUGAAGAGAAAAACCUUCAAGAGAAACAUUAACUUAAAACUGUUAAAAACAGGUCUUCUUUGAAUAAAAUGCCCCCAUUUUGAUUUCCAGGUGAAAUACAAUGGCAGGUGCCCAAAUCUCCUCUAUUUGCAGUACUACCAACCACGAACUAUGGAUGUUUCACAACCGUAGUUUUGACUCGGAUGGUUCAUACUUGUAUGCAGUUCAUGGAGUUUAGUCUUCAUCAAAAUUAGAUAAAGAACAAGUUUUUCCUGA